CAGCUGGAGCCCAGUGAGCAAGCUCUUGGAUGUUGUGAAACAAUUACUCCAUAUGCCAGGAACAUGACCACACGUGGCACUAGAUGACGACCAAACAGAACUGAGUCACACUGAGAGCAAAAAUAAGCUUUGGCUUGCUUUUGGGCUCCUCCAACACCUGGUGAUGCUGUCAGUCCCAGUAUCUGAGGAAAAUGCAAAUCUCCGUGAAGACCCUGACCUGAAGGACCAUCACCCUGGAGGAGAAACCCAGUGAUAUCGUGGAAAAUAUAAGUGAAAGCUAAAAUCCAGAAUAAAGAAGGCAUCCCCACUGGCCAGCGGAGCUCAUCUCUACAGGCAAGCAGAUGGAAGAUAGCCUCACUCUAUCUGACUACAACUUCCAGAAAACAUUGCCCUUGCACCUGCUCCUCUGUCGGAGGGGUGGCUGUCAAUUCUUCAGUCUUUCAUUCACAAUGCCCAAAUGAUGUCAUUACUCUUCGCUCUACCCCAAUUUACAUUUAGAAA